rnacentral:tRNA from 1 species
AGGGUUGUAGCUCAGUGAUAGAGUGCUUGCCUAGCAUGCAAGGCACUGGGUUCAAUCCUCAGCACUA